AGUGAACGCUGGCGGUAGGCCUAACACAUGCAAGUCGAACGGCAGCACAGUAAGAGCUUGCUCUUACGGGUGGCGAGUGGCGGACGGGUGAGGAAUACAUCGGAAUCUACUUUUUCGUGGGGGAUAACGUAGGGAAACUUACGCUAAUACCGCAUACGACCUACGGGUGAAAGCAGGGGAUCUUCGGACCUUGCGCGAUUGAAUGAGCCGAUGUCGGAUUAGCUAGUUGGCGGGGUAAAGGCCCACCAAGGCGACGAUCCGUAGCUGGUCUGAGAGGAUGAUCAGCCACACUGGAACUGAGACACGGUCCAGACUCCUACGGGAGGCAGCAGUGGGGAAUAUUGGACAAUGGGCGCAAGCCUGAUCCAGCCACACCGCGUGGGUGAAGAAGGCCUUCGGGUUGUAAAGCCCUUUUGUUGGGAAAGAAAAGCAGCAGGUUAAUACCCCGCUGUUCUGACGGUACCCAAAGAAUAAGCACCGGCUAGCUUCGUG
rnacentral:rRNA from 1 species